CCACGGAGCACAAGUUAAAGAAGAAAAAAGGGAAGAUGUGUAUGAGCUUUGUCAAUCAAAUUGAAUUGACACUAUUUCGGACAAAGAGCAAAGCUCACUGCCAUUCCUCCAUACACACAUACACAAAACAAGUUGUAUAGAAAAUGAG
ensembl:ncRNA Y69E1A.13 ncRNA